rnacentral:rRNA from 1 species
GCCUGAUCCAGCCAUGCCGCGUGCAGGAUGACGGUCCUAUGGAUUGUAAACUGCUUUUGUACGAGAAGAAACACUCCAACGUGUUGGAGCUUGACGGUAUCGUAAGAAUAAGGAUCGGCUAACUCCGUGCCAGCAGCCGCGGUAAUACGGAGGAUCCAAGCGUUAUCCGGAAUCAUUGGGUUUAAAGGGUCCGUAGGCGGUUUAGUAAGUCAGUGGUGAAAGCCCAUCGCUCAACGGUGGAACGGCCAUUGAUACUGCUGAACUUGAAUUAUUAGGAAGUAACUAGAAUAUGUAGUGUAGCGGUGAAAUGCUUAGAGAUUACAUGGAAUACCAAUUGCGAAGGCAGGUUACUACUAAUGGAUUGACGCUGAUGGACGAAAGCGUGGGUAGCGAACAGGAUUAGAUACCCUGGUAGUCCACGCCGUAAACGAUGGAUACUAGCUGUUGGAAGCAAUUUCAGUGGCUAAGCGAAAGUGAUAAGUAUCCCACCUGGGGAGUACGUUCGCAAGAAUGAAACUCAAAGGAAUUGACGGA